rnacentral:rRNA from 1 species
UGAGGAAUAUUGGGCAAUGCCCGCAAGGGUGACCCAGCAACGCCGCGUGGAGGAUGAAUGUCGUAAGAUUGUAAACUCCUGUUAGAGGGGAAGAAUAGUACCGGUUGGACCGGUAUAUGACUGUACCCUCAGAGAAAUCCCCGGCUAACUACGUGCCAGCAGCCGCGGUAAUACGUAGGGGGCAAGCGUUGUCCGGAUUUACUGGGUGUAAAGGGCGCGCAGGCGGGAUAAAAAGUCAGUGGUGAAAUCCUACAGCUUAACUGUAGAACUGCCUUUGAUACUUUUAUUCUUGAGUUCGGGAGAGAGAGACGGAAUUCCAGGUGUAGUGGUGAAAUACGUAGAUAUCUGGAAGAACACCAGUUGCGAAGGCGGUCUCUUGGUCCGACACUGACGCUGAGGCGCGAAAGCGUGGGGAGCAAACA